UACGGGGGGUGCAAACGUUGCUCGGAAUCAUUGGGCGUAAAGCGCACGUAGGCGGUCUUGUAAGUCGGGUGUGAAAGCCCCGGGCUCAACCCGGGAAGUGCAUUCGAAACUGCAAGGCUUGAGUAUGGAAGAGGGUCUCGGAAUUCCCGGUGUAGAGGUGAAAUUCGUAGAUAUCGGGAGGAACACCAGUGGCGAAGGCGGAGACCUGGGCCAAUACUGACGCUGAGGUGCGAAAGCGUGGGGAGCAAACAGG
rnacentral:rRNA from 1 species